AACGAACGCUGGCGGCAUGCCUAACACAUGCAAGUCGAACGAGACCUUCGGGUCUAGUGGCGCACGGGUGCGUAACGCGUGGGAAUCUGCCCUUGGGUUCGGAAUAACAGUUAGAAAUGACUGCUAAUACCGGAUAAUGUCUUCGGACCAAAGAUUUAUCGCCCAGGGAUGAGCCCGCGUAGGAUUAGCUAGUUGGUGAGGUAAAGGCUCACCAAGGCGACGAUCCUUAGCUGGUCUGAGAGGAUGAUCAGCCACACUGGGACUGAGACACGGCCCAGACUCCUACGGGAGGCAGCAGUGGGGAAUAUUGGACAAUGGCGAAAGCCUGAUCCAGCAAUGCCGCGUGAGUGAUGAAGGCCUAGGUUGUAAAGCUCUUUACCCGGGUAUGAUAAUGACAGUACCGGGAGGAAUAAGCCCCGGGCUAACUCCGUGCCAGCAGCCGCGGUAAU
rnacentral:rRNA from 1 species